UUCUUAAAGCUCUUUGUCAACUGUCACGAUCUUUGUUUCGCACCAUAGGGCCUCUUCUGUCGCUCUUUACAUGUUCUCUACUCUAUUUGCCCACAGGUGCUCUCAAGGACCCUAAAACCCAAAUAAAUCAAAAAAAGAAUUCCUAACAGCACUCAAAAAGCCUCUGAACUGUCAGAUCAUGAUCGAACAACCUCAGCCAU
rnacentral:lncRNA from 1 species